GACGAACGCUGGCGGCGUGCCUAACACAUGCAAGUCGAGCGGGGACAGCCCAGUAGCAAUACGAAGCUGUUCUAGCGGCGGACGGGUGAGUAACGCGUGAGCAACCUGUCCCAAACAGGGGGAUAACGAACCGAAAGGUUCACUAAUACCGCAUGAGACCACAUUGCCACAUGGCAAAGGGGUCAAAGGAGAAAUCCGGUUUGGGGUGGGCUCGCGUCUGAUUAGCUAGUUGGUGAGGUAAAGGCCCACCAAGGCGACGAUCAGUAGCCGACCUGAGAGGGUGAUCGGCCACAUUGGAACUGAGAGACGGUCCAAACUCCUACGGGAGGCAGCAGUGGGGAAUAUUGGGCAAUGGGCGAAAGCCUGACCCAGCAACGCCGCGUGAAGGAAGAAGGUUUUCGGAUCGUAAACUUCUAUCCUUGGUGAAGAUAAUGACGGUAGCCAAGAAGGAAGCCCCGGCUAACUACGUG
rnacentral:rRNA from 1 species